AGUGAACGCUGGCGGUAGGCCUAACACAUGCAAGUCGAACGGCAGCACAGUAAGAGCUUGCUCUUACGGGUGGCGAGUGGCGGACGGGUGAGGAAUACAUCGGAAUCUACUUUUUCGUGGGGGGUAACGUAGGGAAACUUACGCUAAUACCGCAUACGACCUACGGGUGAAAGCAGAGGAUCUUCGGCCCUUGCGCGAUUGAAUGAGCCGAUGUCGGAUUAGCUAGUUGGCGGGGUAAAGGCCCACCAAGGCGACGAUCCGUAGCUGGUCUGAGAGGAUGAUCAGCCACACUGGAACUGAGACACGGUCCAGACUCCUACGGGAGGCAGCAGUGGGGAAUAUUGGACAAAGGGCGCAAGCCUGAUCCAGCCAUACCGCGUGGGUGAAGAAGGCCUUCGGGUUGUAAAGCCCUUUUGUUGGGAAAGAAAAGCAGCAGGUUAAUACCCCGCUGUUCUGACGGUACCCAAAGAAUAAGCACCGGCUAACUUCGUG
rnacentral:rRNA from 1 species